rnacentral:rRNA from 1 species
UCGUUGUAGCAAUACGAUGGAAAGUUUAGUGGCGAACGGGUGCUUAACACGUGGGCAACCUGCCAGGAAGUGGGGGAUAGCUCGCCGAAAGGCGAAUUAAUACCGCAUGUGAUUAGAGAGGACAUCCUUUCAAAAUUAAAGUCGGGGCAACCUGACGCUUCUUGUGGGGCCCGCGGCCUAUCAGCUAGUUGGUGAGGUAACGGCCCACCAAGGCUUUGACGGGUAGCUGGUCUGAGAGGACGACCAGCCACACUGGGACUGAGACACGGCCCAGACACCUACGGGUGGCAGCAGUCGAGAAUUUUUGACAAUGGGGGAAACCCUGAUCGAGCGACGCCGCGUGGAGGAUGAAGGUCUUCGGAUUGUAAACUCCUGUCAUUGGGGAACAAUGCACAGAUAUUAACUAUAUUUGUGUUGAUAGUACCCGAAGAGGAAGAGACGGCUAACUCUGUGCCAGCAGCCGCGGUAAUACAGAGGUCUCAAGCGUUGUUCGGAUUCAUUGGGCGUAAAGGGUGCGUAGGCGGCGCGGUAAGUCGGGUGUGAAAUCUCGGAGCUUAACUUCGAAACUGCAUUCGAUACUGCCGUGCUUGGGGACUGGAGAGGAGACUGGAAUUCACGGUGUAGCA